UACAGAGGGUGCGAGCGUUAAUCGGAAUUACUGGGCGUAAAGCGUGCGUAGACGGCUAUCUAAGUCGGGUGUGAAAGCCCCGGGCUUAACCUGGGAAUGGCAUUUGGGACUGCAAGGCUUGAGUGCGGCAGAGGAGACUGGAAUUCCUGGUGUAGCAGUGAAAUGCGUAGAUAUCAGGAGGAAUACCGAUGGCGAAGGCAGGUCUCUGGGCUGACACUGACGCUCAUGCACGAAAGCGUGGGGAGCAAACAGG
rnacentral:rRNA from 1 species